rnacentral:lncRNA from 1 species
CAGGAAGGAGGAGCUGCAGUGCUCACCACUUUGGGAGAAGAGCAACUUGCUGCCUGCCUGUGAAAGCUUCUGAGAAGCUAGAGGGCUUCACUGUCUGCAAUCUUGGCUCCUGAUUCAAUGCUUAGUUUUUAGCCUGUAUCAUAAUCUGUACUGGAAGGCAUCUGACAACUCUGUGAAUGGCAUUGAAUGAGCAGGAGGAAGAGGCCUCGCGCGGAGGAGGGAGCAAUUGAAUUUCAAAACACAAACAACUGCAGGAGUGCGCACCGCUGUGCCCAGCGUCGCGUCGUCGGACUCGUGCCCAC